AAUAAGCAAGCUAAUGAGCGUAAGUUUCGUUUCGAAUCUAGUUUUCAGAGAACAACACUCUGAACGAAGUGAAAAUCGGUACAUCACCGAGUGUGUGUAUGAUUUUCAGUUCUCUAAUGGAUAUGGAAAGAAGAUAAACUUCGAUCCAAUCGCGUUUGGUGGCGAUGGCGGAGGGGUUCCACACGUACCCAUCCCGAACACGACCGUUAAGCCCUCUAGCGCCGAUGGUACUUGGACCGCAGGGUCCUGGGAGAGUAGGACGCCGCCAAGC
rnacentral:rRNA from 1 species